rnacentral:lncRNA from 1 species
AAGCAUGCUUACAUACAAACCAUAACCAUAUUACGCGCUCUCUGACUUAUUCUAUUAUCCAUUCACUUACCAUGCAUCAACUCUUAUUGUAUAUGAUCUAUAUAUGUCAGUCUUGCUAUAUCCAAGAAGAGAUUAUCAAGCUACAAUACAUAUACGCCAGGAGCAGACUAGAUCUUAGGCUUGCUAGCCGACCCUGGGGACCUGGGCAAUUUUGUCGAGACUGUCAACAAAGAGGCGGACACGGUCGAUUCGAUAUUCCAUGGUCACAAUUGUCCCCACCGGUAGAACUACGAUCUGUGCCUCUGACUUGUCCUGCAAAAUCACCUUCUUGGCCUCCUCCACCGAUUUCCCCACCAGCUCUGGCCACUCUGUCUUCUGGUUGUGAUGGCCAUCAAUAUCGGUGUUCCCUCCCUCCGUCUCCUUCACCAUAGAACUCAUCCUUGUGACGCUUGCUUCCUAUGAUCAAAACAAAUAACCGAAAAAUUGUCACAGAAAAUCACCUGCAGAAAACUAUAAUAACAGAGAAGAUCAAGCAUGCACAUACUAACCUAUGAGGCUGAUUAAAUCGCUUGUGUGACUAUGAUAUGUUGAACUGUCAUGCCCUCACCUUAAUGUCUAUUUAUAGGCAAUCAGGCUCAACUCCUUUUUUUUGUGUAGUUCUGCACACAAAGUAAGCUAAAGGUGUACUCCUUGCUAACUUCACAUGGAUGGUGGUAGCUUGAACGAAGAUAUCCCAUUUGGCUUUUUUUAGAGAAUUACGUGCCUACACAUCAUCAGAUAAAAGUGAUGCUUAUCUACCUCGAGCAGAAAAGGGUGAAUGAAAUCUUGCACGGAACAUCAUGGAAGGUUGUCAUAUCUUGGUCCUGGAUUACACGUACACUGCAAACAAAACAAGAAUCAUCACAUGCCCGGCCUUUUUUUUAGGAGAACACAACACUGCAUACAACUCAUCCAGACGGAUAAAGAACUUUUCUUAGCAAGAAUCAAAUUUAUUGUUAAGGAUCUGCAUAAUCACAUUCAAGGCAAGCUAAGAAGUUUGUAAUCCACCAAAAAAAUAACUUACACUCCACAAACUUAUUUCUUUAUUUCUUUCCCUUCAAGUUUGCACUACAAUUCCUUUCACAUUAGUGUGCACCAAAAUAUCUUCAUUUCUAUCGUCAUAUGUAAUAAUUUGUAUAUUUUUAUGUUUGAGACAACAAGUGGAGGUACCUUGUAUACUAGCUUCCAAAAAUAUUUAUGUACAAUACCUUUUUUAAGGGACAUACCUGCAGUACUUCAAUUUGUUUCUACAUGGAACAUACUACAUUAUAAUUUUAAUCGCAUAGUUACGCAAUUUUUUGAAAAACAUUUCUAUACUAACUGGCCAUUAAAUUAAUAUCUAGCUAUUUUAAGUAUAAUUAAAAUUUAAGCUACUUGUAUCUUCAUAAGGACUCUUGAAAAAAAUAGCAUUUAUGUAAAUUUGUAGCUUGUAUCAGAAAUUUAUGUAAAAACAUAUCUAAAUUUUGCUUUUGGAAUUCAAACAUUUAUAUUGUAUAGGCGGUUAAAUUACCAAAUCUAUGACGUGCUCUAGCAAAUUUGAAUGUGCACUUGGAAUAUGCACUCCCUGCAAAAAAAAUUGAACUUGUGUUGUUCUUGUUUAGUUGUUCCAUUUAAAUAUGCACUUGGAAGUUUUCCAUAUGUUUUUUAGUGUUUGUCUGGAAUGCCUUUUCGAAUUAAUUUGUUAUUUCUUUGAACACUUAAUUGCUUUUUGUAUUUCCUAAAAUAAAUCCUCCUGCCAUGGGCGAAAAUCAAAGAUGUUCUUGCGCAUUUUUGCCAAACUGUGGUUCUGUUCUGGCCAUUACCAGACUGCACCUUUACGCGUAAUGGGCUCUGGCCUUAGUUAAAUACCUUGCAACAUGUUUCCGCACACAGGCAAAUAUGGGCCCGAUGGCUGGGGGAGCGACUGUUGAUUUUUUUUUAAAUAUUCCGAUUACAUAUAUUCUAAAAAUUAAUUUAGUUCAAUUAUUAAAAAUGAUAAUCACACAUUUAAAAAUUCAUGUAGUGUAAAAAAAGUGUACGUGCAAAUUUUAUAAAAUGAUGAUAAUAUUCAAUAAAAAUAUUCAUGGCAUUUAGAAAAAAUCUUCAUGUGUUAGAAUGAUGAUAGUGAACUUUUAGAAAGUUCUUAUACAACGUAGAAAAAUGUUCAUGUGAUUCAAGAAAAAUGUUUCAUGAACAUGCCGUGUCGAUCAUUCUUUGGACACAGCUAAAUAAAGGAAACCAUGUGCAAUAUAUAGUAACAAUACAAACGAUUUGAGUGAAGGAUGUCUGUGUGAUAAGAAAACCACUUAAUUUGAUCCCCUAGCUUUCGAUCACUCCAGGGGAUGGCCGUUGAUGAAAGUUUGCUGGAGCGUUGGAUGCAUCCCUCCAUCAAUGUUCACUUUCCUGAAUACACACAGCUUCCAUACAUGAGGUAUGUAAUAUCACAUGCAAAACGAUCUUAUAUUAUGAGACAGAGGGAGUAAUAACUACCUUGGCAGUUUCCAAAACAAAAAAUUAGCAAGACGUACUGCUGCUGCUUGCCGCCACGACAUACUGUUGCUUUUUGUGAUGCUCGCCGGCGAGAGACGAGGGUACUCUCUCUCUCCAACCCAUGGGACUCCUAGGUGGCUGGGACCUUGCCGAGUUGUGGCAUGCGGGGAGGGGGCGAGGAAAGGUAACAAUGAGUGCCGCAACAAGGCAGCCACAAUGAGGCCAACGUUGUCGUCCAUGCAUCCGUCCCCCAUGCGCCAGCGGGUACGCUAUGCGCACAGGAACCAAAGGGAGAAUGCUCGUGCCACAAGUUGCUCGAGGCUACUAGACGCGCACAUGCACCAAAGUGAGAACACUACAUAUCUGGCAUGGGAGCCAUGCACCGCUGCCGCGGCUCCGCCUUUCUGAGAGCUGUUGUGGCGCNNNNNNNNNNNNNNNNNNNNNNNNNNNNNNNNNNNNNNNNNNNNNNNNNNNNNNNNNNNNNNNNNNNNNNNNNNNNNNNNNNNNNNNNNNNNNNNNNNNNNNNNNNNNNNNNNNNNNNNNNNNNNNNNNNNNNNNNNNNNNNNNNNNNNNNNNNNNNNNNNNNNNNNNNNNNNNNNNNNNNNNNNNNNNNNNNNNNNNNNNNNNNNNNNNNNNNNNNNNNNNNNNNNNNNNNNNNNNNNNNNNNNNNNNNNNNNNNNNNNNNNNNNNNNNNNNNNNNNNNNNNNNNNNNNNNNNNNNNNNNNNNNNNNNNNNNNNNNNNNNNNNNNNNNNNNNNNNNGCCAAGGCCCUCGAGGCCUCUAGUGAUGGGGUGGGGCGGCAAGAGUGGGAAGGGACGGGGAAUCGGGGCCGGUGAACACACAACACUGUAUGCCUUACAAUUCCCAUGGGGAAUUCUAAGGAAGGAGAUAGAGCUGACAUGUGGGCCCACAUGUCAUAACUUGGACAUGACUAGUAGGCCAACCCUGUCAUAAUCACGGUUUAUUUUGAGUAAAAUGGUCAUCAGUGUGAAGUAGUAAAUUUUAGCAAAAUAGUUAUAGGUUUUAGUGAAAAAAAUAAAACGGGUAGUUUUCUUGAACACAUACAUGAAUUCUGGUAGUUUUUGGCAAUUACUCCAUUAGAAAGAUGGUUCAACAAAUGAUUGAGGGAAAUUGUUGAAAACACUAGGCUACAACCAGCACCUGGAUUAUUCUUUGGUACGUACUUAGGUAUAGCUGGCAGCGAUAUGCGUGAUGAAUAUUUAAUGAUUUACUGUUGUGGAGUUGACUUGUGAUCACUUUGGACGAUCUGCAAGGAAAAACUAGUCAUUUCUCUCAGUGAUCUGGUAAGCAUUGGCGGCAAGAGAAUGAUGCAUAGCCAAUAUACGUGAACUAUCAAUAUCGUCAUUGCACAGGGUACGGCGUCAUAGCCCAUAUACGUGAUCGGUUUAUCGGCUACCCGGUGACCCUACGAGUAGUGAUUAAUUGGCAAGUUAACUCGUUAAUCAAACGAAUUCUUACACAAUCCGGUGACCCUACAAGUAGUGAUUAAUUGGCAAGUUAACUCGUUAAUCAAACGAAUUCUUACACAGGGUACGACAUCAUACAUGUGUAAACUAAUUGAACGCAAGCACGCUUACAUACAAACCUUAACCAUAUUACGUGCUCUGACUUAUUCCAUUAUCCAUUAACCUACCAUGCAUCAACUUCUUAUUGUAUAUUUUUGACGAAAAUAUGGCCCUAGGGCCGCAUUUCAUUGAUUAGUCAGACGGAGAGAAAAGCAGUUACAAAGUUUCAGAACAAUGGAAGGCCAUAUAUGGCGAUACUACAAGCAUCCCUGUUUCAGACUAAAGUUGUAGCAAAAAUACAUGGGGCAGUGUUCAGGGUGGCUCAAAGAGUCUGUCCAACUGAUGAAUCCCGGCCGCAGACCAACAUCUGGCCUCGUCCAUGAUGUGGCUGACGACUUGCCUGGGCGUGCAGUGGAUGGCGUUGAAGAUGCGUGCACCGUGUUCCUUCCAAAGCAUCCAUGCAACAAGACAGAUAGCCGACCUCCAAGUGUUUCUAUGUGCCGGACCCGGCAGUGCACGGAGCUGGCUCGUCCAAGAGGAUCACGGACCCGGCAGUGCACGGAGCUGGCUCGUCCAAGAGGAUCAGAGACACCCGUCAUUAUUGGCCGCCAUGGUCACCACCGGCAGCGCGGAGAAAGGGGGUCCCAGCUUCAUAAUGAUGGAGCUCCAUACCUCGGCCUAGAACGGGCAAACCUUCAGGCUUCAGCAGGUGGGCAGCUGUCUCCGGCGCCGUCGAGCACAGUGGGUAGUUUAGGUUGUGCGGGAUACCCUGGAUAUCCAGAUUAUCAGUCGUCACGCACCGCCCUCGGGUAGCAAGCCAGAGGUAAGUUUUGGAACGCGGUGCCGCCUUGGCAGACCAGAUGAGUUCCUUAUCGUUCGUGCGUAGAGCUCCCUCAAAUUGGCAACGGUAGGCUGACCUGGCAGUGUAAGUACCGUCUACCGUCCACUUCCAGCGAACCGAGUCACUCGCCUCGUCGGUGAAGUUGAUGCCGGAGGCCAUCUCGGUGAGGCUCCAGAGCUGUUGCAACAUGACGGCAGAGGGGUUGGCCUUCAAGAGUCGCAUCCAUCUGUUUCCGGUGAGUGCAUCGCGCAAACAAAUCCGACGCUUUGUGCAAUGGCGGACCAGCUCCGGCCAUCGGUCGACGGGGCGGAGCCCAUUAUUGGCCCAAUGCGAGUCCUAGAAAGAGGCGAGUCUGCCAUCUCCAAUUAUAAUGGUUGUUGAGGAUCUGAAUAACUCCUCGGCCGCCCUAUCUGGCCGAAGGGAUAUGACCUGAAUAACUCCAUUGCAACCAAUACCGACGGCAUCUGAGCGCUCUGCCUUGUCGUGCUAUAUCCAUGAUGUCAAGGCCACCGAACUCCUUGGGGCGACAAACAGACGGCCAGUUCACCAAGCACUUCCCAGCCGCUGCGUUUUGAUCUUGUGCCCACAGGAACCCACGGAGCAGCUUGUUUAUUCUUUUGAUCAGCCAGACAAGGGGGUCCAGCGCCAUUAGUUGAAACACCACCAUGGAGGAAAGCGUCGAUCGGACAAGCUCAAUCCGGCCUGGCAAGGCAAUAUGCUUUGCUUUCCAUCCCCCAGCGCGCUUAGCAAUCUUGUCAAUUAUAGGUUGCUGAACCACCCGGCGCAGACGGUUGUCGGACAGGGGCAUUCCCAGGUAGGUGAUCGGGAAAUGCGCCAUUGGGCAGCAAGAGUCAUGGGUGAUGUUGUUGAUGAUUGAGUCAUCGGUGCAGCCAAUGGCGAUGACCGCACUUUUAUUCCAAUUGGCGUGUAGCCCCGUAGCAUCUCCAAACAGCCUGAGCAGCUCCAUGAUUCCUCUGAAUUAUGUGUCAUUGGCAUUGAGAAAGAAGAGGACAUCGUCGGCAUACAGGGACGCCCGUGAGGAUGACCUUGAUUUUCCCAAUGGAGCAAGGACCCCAUUGACUGCAGCAAAGCUCACCAUGGCUGAGAGCACGUCCAUUGCGAUGACAAAUAGGAGGGGGAGAGGGGGUCCCCUUGUCGGAGCCCUUUCAAGUUGCGGAUGAUAUCAGUGAGAUCCCCAUUGACCAGCACUCUCGUGGAUGAGGUCGCAAGCAGCCCAGCAAUCCAUCCCACCCACCGGUCGCUGAAUCCUCUUGUUUUUAACAAUUGUAGCAGGAACUCCCAAGAAAGGUUGUCAAAGGCUUUAGUUAUAUCCACCUCCAGGAGCAUCGCCGGCCAUUUUGCCGCUUUCAAAGUUCUGAUGAGCACGCGUACCAACAUGAAAUUGUCCAUGAUGGAUCUUUUCUUGAUGAAUGCACUUUGACAUGGGGAAACCAGCCGGUGCAUCUUCGGUUGUAAUCUGUGUGCUAGCAUCUUGGUGAAGAUUUUGGCAAUUGUGUGCACCACACUAAUUGGUUUGAAAUCAGAGAGUCUCUUUGCCCCUUCAAUCUUUGACAGCAGCACCGUGCAAGCAGUGUUUAACUUUUCGAAGUUGGCAAAGUUGAGAUUCUGGAGCUUUGUAAUUGUUGCCAUGAUGUCAUUUUUGAUUGUGAUCCAGUAGGUUCUGAAGAAUAGCAUGGAGAAGCCGUCUGGUCUGGGGGCUUUGUCACAGGCCAUCUCAUUUAUCGCUGCAAGCACCUCCUGUUCAGUAAAUGGAUCGUCAAGGCCAGCUAGAACUUCAGAAGUUGGAGAGUAUCCCAGCUCCUCAAGGUUCUAACCAAUAGGCCUUUGCUGCUUUGUUCUAAUGAAAUUGUUGUAGAAUUCCCAAACAAGGUCAAGCUUUUCCUCCUGCCCAGUGACACUUUGUCCCUCGUGCUCAAUAGCUUGGAUGUAAUUGAUGUGGAAGAAUUUUGUUCCGUCGUCGCCUUCCUUUCCAAGCAACAAAAAUUCCUCCCCAGGUACCCACGGCCGGCUGGUAAAUGAACGAGUCAAAACCAGGGCCACAACAUUCAGAGAUUACCACAGAGUCCACCAAGCUCAUUUUUUAUUAUUGAAAACAAACAACUGAUACAUUGAACUGAUUAACAAGUCUCCUAGCCACACCAGGACGUACCGGGGUGUUCGAUCCACACACAUUCCAGAACAACAUUGGGUAACAAUCCAUAAAACAACCUAAUCGACAGCAACAGUAACACCAGACACCUACACCACGGUGGACGAGGCAGCGGCGCCAGCAGCAUGGCCCGGAGCAAGAGGCCUCUUCAGUCCCCUAGCUUCUGUGAGAGCUGUGAGUGCAUCGAUCUGCUGCUCGGUGAGGGGAGCAUCGAACGUCCUCGAGUACUUGGCAAGCGCAUCGUCGGCUUCAGACUCGAUCCCCAACUUGUGCAUGAUCAGCCUCUGAGCCUUGGCCACAGCGUUGAGAGCUGCCGAGCUGCUGGACGCAAGGCGGUGGCUCUGCCUAGGAUUGGGCACCGGGGAGCGGCGCCUGCGGCGGGGCUCGCUAGGUCUGGUGGCGGGUGGCCUGGGCAGGAUUGCAGGGGUGAUCGGUUCAGAGAGAUGUUGCAUCAUAAUCUCAACGGCUGUGACUGGACCUAAAGCUGGUUCUUGGCUUGGGCCAUCAUCGGCUGGCCCAUCUACGGCGGGGUGUGUCUCCUGGCCCGCCAGCACCUGUGCUCCCUCCAACAUGGUAUCCGCAACAUCCGGGCCUUCCGACGCGGUCAAUUGGCCACCAUCGCAACCCACCCCACCACGGGGGCUGCAUGGCGGCGUCCUCCCAGCAACAGUAGCGUGCAUCGCGUCACAUGCAUGGAGCUUGGAUUGGGGUAUCUGCUUGUCUCCAUGCACUUGUACCGUCCCAAUCUGCUUGCAGGUCAAAGCCAGCAUGGACGCUGGCAUCGCAUCAGCCGGUGGGUCGCUUCCAUCAGCUGCACAGCUGUUGCCUGCCUCCUACACCAGCUGCUCUGACAACUAUAGCGUCUGCUCAUCAGAAACAUGAAAAAGGGAUGUCUCAGCCUGCAUGAUACCGAUCAAGGGGGCGGACUUCCUAACAUAGCUAGCUUGCACCGGGUUUGCAGCGAGAGCGGCAAGCGCCACCACCGGAAGGGCAGGCUCAAGAGAGUUGUUGCGAUGCUCCACGGGCAGGCGUGCCUCGUCAGACCUGGGGUCCAGCAUCUUGUCGAGCAGCACCACUCCAUCUUCGUCGACCAUGAAGACGCGGCUGCGUCCGCCGGCCCAGAACGCCCACCCAUCCUGGACAAGAUGGACGGCCUUACAGGAGGCGUCGGCACAGAGCGGGAACCAGCAAUAACCCCUCUCGCCCAGCGGAAUGGGCGGGCGUCACGGGCGGAGAUGUUGCGGUCAUCGCGGCCCGACGACGGGCCAGCACCCCAGCCCCCACGACGAACUCCUCCAUGUAGUCGAGGUGAACGAGCACCAAGCCAUCAUGCACACGGGGGCAAUCUGGGAGCGGUGUGGCACCGUUGAUGAUAAGCGUGAAAACCGGCGGCAGCUGCAGGCGGUCGAGAGGCUCCGCAGCAGAGUCGCGGCGUGGCUCGCCAGUGCCUAGCUGUACAAAACGAGGGAGCAUGUCUGGGCCGGGAGAGCACCGAAGCGUAGAGAACGAAGUAGGAUACGUCAGUCUUGUGGAAUGUCUCGAAUUUGAUGGCAUGGAUCCUGAGCAUCGGCAAGAUGCGCUUGACGGUGGUCAGCGACCAAGCUUGCGCUGUGAUGCCCUCCAGGAAGAGGCGCACCUUGUAGCGCAUGGUCAGCAGGUCCGAGAAGGAGCGGCGCGCCCACUCCCUCGGCAGGUACGACGUGCCUUGGUUGUCAUGGAAUAUGCCGCCGCUCGCCACCAUGUCCCUCCACCACGCAUCGGAGAAGCGCACCAGGAACGCGUCAUGGCAGAACGAGACGUUGAUGACCCCGGGCGGCAGCGUCGGGUACUCCGACAUGAUGGCGUCCAUGACCUUGCCCGGGUACAUCCCCUCCGCGGCCACCGCGAAGAGCAGCACCGUGGCCUGCAGGUGAAGCUCCUCGUCCGCCAUCUCCUGGGUGAACUCAAGGUAGCAGUAGGAGGACAUGGGGCGGCGGACCGCAUCACCGGGCAUGGAGGUCUCGGUGUGGCUCAUGGUGGCAGACGCUGCAGCCACGCGGAGUCUAGGGAAGCCGAUGCGGGAGUGCAUGCUGGACGCUGGGAACACGAGCCGCUGAUGUGGAGGUGGCCUACUAGCAGCAGCUAGAGAGGGCAGCGUAGGGCUGGUUGAUGUGCCUGCGGUGGAGGGCAGCGAGGAGGUGUGAACGGUGGCGGCUGCAACGGUGGCGGCGCGAGUGGGUUUGGAGGGAGGUGCUUGAGGGUGUAGUCCCUGGCGGUGUGCCCGGGCUGAACACAAUGCAGGCAGCGCACCACUUGUCGGCAGGUUUGGAUUUUGUGGUUACCUAGAAGGCACCGGAAGCAGCGACCAUGGAGAUCCUCCUUAUAGGAGGCGGCCCGUGGGGGCACGGGGGCCUCUCCGCCUGGCCUCUCCUCCGGGAGACCAAGUGCCAUUGAUGCGAGGAGCUGCACCCCUGCCCAUCGCCAUCAAUUGGGCUGGCAGCAUUGAAGGGAGAUGGGCGUGCAGAACCGGCAGAGGCAUGGGCCGCUGCAGCAACAGUGUUCACCGCAUCCACGGAGGCCGGCAGCGUUUCCGCCACGCCGAGAGCCACAGCCUGGGAGUAAGUGCGUCGCGAGAUGGGUGACUGGUCAGACGCGGUAGAGCUCCCCGUUAGACAGAGUCUGUCCUCUGAGGCAGAAGGAGAGGGGCUAGGAACCAGCGGUCUGCAGGCUGAAUCCGGGGAGGCCUCCAUGAGACCAAGGUGUGGGAGGCGGAUGCCCGCGAGCGGCGCACCCAGAGUUGCCGCGGGGGCGGGACGAGGUUGCGGCGGCCGAGGUGGCCGGGGGUGGGAAGCUACGCUGGAGCUAGGUGAGCCUUCGCAGUUUCUUACUAUGAAGGGUGAAACUUCGUAUUGUAUAUGAUUGAGAUAUAUAGAUCAUCAUUCUUAUUGUAUAUGAUCUAUAUAUCUCAUGUAUAUGUUCUAUAUAUCUCAAUCUUGCUAUAUCGAAGAAGAGAUAAUCAAGUUGCCAUACAUGUACGCGAGCAGCAGGCCAGCUCUCAAGCUUGCUAGCCGACCCUGGGGACCUGGGCAAUGGUGUCGAGUCUGUCGACAAAGAGGCGAACACGGUAGAUCCGAUAUUCCAUGGUCACAAUUGUCCCCACUGGCAGAACUACGAUCCACGCCUCUGGCUUGUCCUGCAAAAUCACCUUCUUGGCCUCCUCCACCGACUUCCCCACCAACUCUGGCCACUCCGUCUUCUGGUUGUGGUCACCAGUACCAGUGUUCCCUCCCUCCGGCUUCUUGUCCACGGAACUCAUCCGUGUGAUGCUUGCUUCCUUUGAUCAAAACAAAAUAACCAAAAUUGUCACACAAAAUCACCUGUAGAAAACUAUUCCAAAAGAGAAGAUCAAUCAUGCGUAUCCUAACCUGUGGGACUGAUUAGAUCGCCUGUGUGACUGUGAGAUGAUGAACUGUCAUGUCCUCAGCUUAAUCUGUAUUUAUAGGCAAUCAGGCUCGACUCCUUAUAAUGUGUAGUUGUGCACACAAAGUACGCUAGAAGUGUACUCCUUGCUAGCUUCACAUGGAUGGUGGUAGCUAGAACGAAGAUAUCCCAAUUGGCUUUAUUUAGAGUAUUAUGUGACUACACGUCAUCGGAUAAAGUGAUCCUUAUCUACCUCGAGCAGAAAAGGGUGAAUGAAAUCUUGCACGGAGCAUCAUGGAAGGUUGGCAUAUCUUGGUCCUGGAUUACACGUACACUGCAGACAAAACAAGAAUCAUCACAUUUUUUUGAUAAAGGACAUUUCAUUCAAUUGAUAUAUCGAGGUGAUACAAACAAGAAUCAUCACAUGCCCAGCCUUUUUUGGUAGGAGAACAAGACACUGUAUACAACUCAACCAGACGGAUAAAGAACUUUUCUUAGCAUAAAGAAUCAACUUUAUUGUUAAGGCUUUGCAUCAUAACAUUCAAGGCAAGCUAAGAAGUUUGUACUCCACCAGAAAAAUAAAUUACACUCCACAAACCUAUUUUUUUAUUUCUUUCCCUUCAAGUUUGUACUACAACUUCCUUUCACGUUAGUGUGCACUAUCUUCAUUUCUAUCUUCAUAUGUAACAAUUCAUAUUUUUUUAUUGUUUGAAACAUCAAGUGGAGGUACCUUGUGUACUAGCUUCCAAAAAUAUUUAUCUACAAUACUUUUUUGUGGGACAUAUCUACAAUACUUCAAUUUGUUUCUACUUGGAGCAUACUACAUUAUAAUGUUAAUCGCAUAGUUAGGCAAUUUUUUGAAAUCAUUUUCUAUAUUAUCUAGCUAUUAAAUUAAUAUAUAGCUAUUUUAAGUAUAAUUAAAAUUUAAGCUACAUGUAUCUACAUAAGGACUCUAGAUUUGAAAAAAAAAAUAUUUAUGUAAGGGCCUGUUCGGGAACGCCCCAGCUUCUCAAAAACUUCCUAAAUCCAACUUCUCGCAUAGCUUCUCGCUUCAGGUGGCGACCAGGAAAGCGUUCGGCGCAUAGCUUCUCGUUUUCUAUCCUCAGGCGCGGGGCUGCCAGCCCAUUUGGCGCGAUUAGCAGGCCAGGUUCGGGGCCCAAAACGAAUUGGCAACGUGAGAAAGGUAGAGUUCGGGAAAGAAAGCGAACCGGUACGUUGAAACUCACUUGGCGGUGGCAACCUGGUGGUAAUUACCCUCAACUCCAACUUCUGGCUAUCCACGGAUCUGGAAAAGGGCUGCUUCCCCAACUCCACCUUUUUUACACUACGGCACCUCGCUAGCUUCUCGACUCCAGCUUCCUGGUGAUAGAGCGUUCGGCUGAGCUUCCUGUGUGGAGUCGAGGAAGUUGAGAGUUGGAGCAUUCCCAAACAGGCUCUAAAUGUGUAGCUUCUAUCAGAAAUUCAUGUAAAAACAUAUCAAAUUUUUGCUUUUGGAAUUCAAACAUUUAUAUUGUAUAGGCGGUUAAAUUACCUAAUCAACGAUGUGCUCUAGCGAAUUUGAAUGUGUGCGCCCCGCAAUAAAAUUGAACUUGUGUUGUUCUUGUUUGGUUGUUUCAUUUAAAUAUGCACCUGGAAAUUUUCCAUAUGUUUUUACUGUUUUUAUGGAAUGUCUUUCCAAAUUAAUUUGUUAUUUCUUUGAACACUUAAUUGCUUUUUGGAUUUCCUUAAGUAAAUCCUCCUUCCAUGGGCAAAAAUCAAAGAUAUUCUUGCUCUAUUUUUGCCAAACUAUGGUUCUGUUCUGGCCAUUACCAGACUGCACCUUUACGCGUAAUGGGCACUGUCCUUAGUGAAAUACCUUGCAACGUGUUUCUACACACAUGCACAGAUGGGCCUGAUAGCCGGGGGAGCGACUGUGGAUUUUUUUAAAUAAUCUGAGUACAUAUAUUCUAAAUGUUAAUUUACUUCAAUUAUUAAAAAUGAUAAUCACACAUUAAAAAAAUAUCAUGUAGUGUAAAAAAGUGUCUGUGCAAAUUUUAUAAAAUGAUGAUAAUAUUCAAUAAAAAUAUUCAUGGCAUUUAGAAAAAUCGUCACGUGUUAGAAAGAUGAUAGAACUUUUAGGAAGUUCUUAUACAACUUAGAAAAAUGUUCAUGUGAUUCAAGAAAAAUGUUUCAUGAACAUGCCGUGUUGAUCAUUCUUUGGACACGGCUAGAUAAAGGAAACCAUGUGCAAUAGGUAGUAACAAUACAAACGAUUUUAGUGAAGGAUGCCUGUGUGAUCAGAAAACCACUUAAUUUGAUCCCUAUAGCUUUUGGAUGGCCGUUGAAGAGUUUGCCAGAGCGUUGGCUGCAUCCCUCCAUCAAUGUUCACUUUCCAUGACAACUUCCUGAAUACACGCAGCUUCCAUACAUGAGGUCUCUAAUAUCAAAUAUACUCCCUCCAUCUCAUAAUAUAAGAUCGUUUUGCAAGCUGUUUUAGCUUGCAAAAAAAUAUUAUAUUAUGAGACAGAGGGAGUAAUAACUACCUUGGCAGUUUUCAAAACAAAAAAAUAGCAAGACAAACUGCUGCUGCUUGCCGCCACGGCAUACUGUUUCUUCUUGUGAUGCUCGCCGCCGAGGGACGAGGGUACUCUCUCUCCCACCCAUGGGACUCCUAGGUGGCUGGGACCUUGCCGAACUGUGGCAUACAAGGAGGGGGCGAGGAAAGGUAAUGAUGAAUGCCACAACGAGGCAGCCACACUGAGGCCGCGAACAGAAUGUGCAUGAGCACAAUGUUGUCGUCCAGUCAUCCGUCCCCCAUGCGCCAGCCGGUACUCUAUGCGCACAUGAACCAAAGGGAGAAUGCUCGUGCCGCAAGUUGCUCCUGCACGCUGUGCUCGAGACUACUAGACGCGCACAUGCACCAAAGUGAGAACACUGCAUAUCCGGCGUGGGAGCCCUGCACCGCUGUAGCGGCUCUGCCUUUCUGAGAGAUGUUGUUGUGCAUGUUGCUCACCCUGGGAGCACGAGACUGCCAGGGGGGAGGGGCAGUCCGCCGAGGCCCUCGAGGCCUCUGGUGAUGGGGUUGGGCGGCGAGAGUGGGAAGGGACGGGGGAUCGGCUCCGUCAAACACACAACCCUGUAUGCCUAGUAUUCCCAGAAUUUUAAGGAAGGAGAUAGAACAGACAUGUGGGCCCAUAUGUCAUAACGUCGACCGUACCAGUCAAAUAAACGAUGUUGACUUUGUAGGCCAUGUGGACAUGACUAGUGGGCCAACCCUGUAAUAAUCACAGUUUAGUUUGAGUAAAACGGUCAUCAGUGUGAAUUGGUAAAUUUUAGCAAAUUUUUAGUGCAAUAGUGAUAGGUGUUAGUGUAAAAAAUUAAAACAGGUAGUUUUCUUGAACACAUACUACCUGAAUACUUGUAGUUUUUGGCAAUUACUGCAUUAGAAAGAUAGUCCAACAAAUGAUUGAGCGAAAUUGUUGAAUACACUAGGCCACAACCAGCACCGGGAUUGUCCUUUGGUACGUACCUAGGUAUAGCUGGCAGUGAUAUGCGUGAUGAAUACUUAGAUGACUUACUGUAGUGGAGUUGACUUGUGAUCACUUUGGAUGGUCUGCAAGGAAAAACUAGCCAUUUCUCUCACUGAUCUGCUAAGCAUUGGCGGCAAGAGAAUGACGCAUAGCCAGUAUACGUGAACCAUCAGUAACGUCAUUGCUAACGUGUAUUUGCGCUUCUCUGGAUCAGAAGCUCUGACUUCAAACGAGUGAGGAGCACGUUAACUACAUCAUCCUUUUGAAGUCAAUGUCUAGCACCCAUGCGACCUCUACCUGUAUAAAUAUAUGGCCACACCCACAGGCAGCAUCAGAUCCAAGACAUCUGCUGUCUAAACCAACAUAUAGCUAGCUAGAAUGGCCUCCCCUAUCAGCCCAGAACUACUCGCUCGCACUCGAGUACACUGAUAGAUGACCGGUGGAUGAGCACACACACGUACUACUCACACACUCACUAGUGUAUCACACACACACGUAGUAGUAGUAGUACUAGUACACAGCACUUGAGGCUUGAAGCACACACGGUGGUACUAGAAGGAGGAAAUGCCUUGUAAUGAAAUUGGAAUGGCCUGAGUUUUACAACCGGGAUGCAGCUCCUUUUAUAGGUAGCUGAACCGACUAACUAUACGUAUGAGCUUACGUCAAGCUCCUAGAUUACAUCACUGCUGACGACUAGCUUGCUCAGCUUUUACCAUAGUAAAUUACUACGACUAGUAGUUUCCUUAACUACCAAGGCAUGCAGCCGCUACUGCUUUUCUUGCCGACAUGCAGCUGCAUGUCAUUUCCACCUCCUGGCUAAGUAACUGCUACUGCUGCCGCUGUAACCAAGCAUGCAUAGCCAUGCAUGCAUCGAAGACAGGUUUGACUCAACAUCCCCGUCGUCCCUCAAGGUGGCUGCCAUCACCGCCGUGCUGGUGCUGGUCAUGUUGUCUUCUUCCCCGUGGAAGGCAGCUGCGCAGAUGCAGUGCAGCAGGUGCACCGAAGACUGCAACUCUUCGUGUGAUGGCUCCAGUAGCAGCGUGAGAUGCAGCAGGACCUGCGCCACUCCGACGUUGCAGUGCGCCAAAUGCCAGAGAUGCAUGAACUCUUGCUUAAGCUACUGCCAGUCCACCUGCGUUAAUUAACAGCUGAACCGAUAUUCUUAUCGAAUUGCUCUUGGAGCUUCGUUUAAUAAGCAAAGGUUGCAAGCCGCAGUUAUAUCUAUACAUUUAUCUUCGUAUGUGUAAGUGUUGCUUGUGUCUUCUUGAGUGCCUGUUCAUGUAUGUUCUGUGUGUGUAGUAUGUAAGAUAUUGCAUAAUGCUAAAAGGGGAUGUUAACUGAAACUGUGAAUAUUGUACUGAUUUGGGCGACAGUAGUACAUAUAGGCUGAUUAACAGCGGUUGCAAUACAUCGUGUGCACAGGUCGUGCAGUAAUGGCUACAAUAUCGCUACCACUAAGUCAAGACAUAGGACGUGGACAUCCUUAGCUUAACAUCCCCCCGCAGUCUCAGCGUCGACUGGUAAGAUGCCGAGGCUGGAGCGGAAGUCAUUGAAUAUUGAAGUGGAGAGGCCCUUGGUAAAUAUGUCUGCAAAUUGCGAAGUAGUUGGAACAUGUAGCACUCUGACUUCACCCAGAGCCACCUUCUCACGCACAAAGUGAAUGUCAAUUUCGAUAUGCUUUGUCCGGCGGUGCUGCACCGGAUUUGCUGACAAGUAACACGCAGAGACAUUGUCGCAGUAGACGAUCGUGGCUUGCUUGAUUGGUUGAUGCAGCUCGGCCAACAGUUGGCGAAGCCAGAUGGUUUCAGCAACAGCAUGGGCCACGGCUCGGUACUCUGCUUCGGCGGAGGAGCGAGAGACUGUUAGCUGCCGCUUUGAGGACCAAGACACCAGAUUGUCACCUAGAAAAACACAAAAACCAGAGGUGGAGCGUCGAGUAUCUGGGCAACCCGCCCAAUCUGCAUCUGAAUAAGCUGUCAAAGUUAAUGGUUUUGAGUUGUUUAGGUGAAGGCCAUGAUCAGUGGUUCCUUUGAGAUAUCUGAGGAUUCGUUUGAUGUGGGUUAGGUGUUCUUCUUUGGGAUCAUGCAUAAAUAGGCAAGCUUGCUGGACGGCGUAGGCUAUGUCUGGGCGAGUUAUGGUGGCAUACUGAAGAGCACCUGCAAGGCUACGGUAAAAGGUUGGAUCAACGACAGGGGUGCCGGUAGAGGAAAGUUUGCCGCCCGUGUCAGCAGGGGUGCGGGCGAUGUGACAGUCCUGCAUGCCAGCUUUGGCAAUGAGUUCCGAAAUGUAUUGCCGCUGAGAUAAAAAGAGUCCUGAUGCAGAACGAGUCACUGAGAUGCCGAGGAAGUGAUGAAGAGUGCCCAAGUCCUUCAUGGCAAAUUCAGAACUGAGAGAAGAAAUGACAUUGUUAAGAAAAGCAGUGCUAGAAGCAGUGAGGAUUAUGUCAUCCACAUAAAGAAGAAGGUAGGCAGUGUGGUCGCCAUGGUGAUAAAUGAAAAGGGAGUUAUCAGAACGUGAAGGGAGAAAACCAAUGGUUUGAAUAAAUGUAGCAAAUCUCUGAAACCAGGCUCGCGGAGCCUGUUUUAGGCCGUAAAGAGACUUUUUGAGCAGGCAAACAUGUUGGGGAAGAUUUGGGUCCUUGAAACCCUUUGGCUGUUGGCAGUGGACAGUCUCUUUGAGGGUGCCGUGAAGAAAAGCAUUAGAGACAUCCAGUUGGUGAAUAGGCCAAGCAGACGAGACAGCUAUUGGAAAUACGAGCAAUUUACCGAGUGAUUUUAUUAACAGAAAUACUAGAUAAAGCAUGACUAGUGUAGCAGUGAUAAAACAAGCCAUGCAAUUUGAUAAAGAGAAGGUAAACAUCAUCUGCAUGUAUGAACUUGAGGUAAACAUAUCUAGAACAGUCACUAGAUGAAGUUGUUUAUACGACAUAGAGCCUAACAUACGUAGGACAGAAACUAGAGCCAAGAACUGUAACAGGACUUCUAACAGAAAGGAGAAGAACACGUACGGCACAGCAGCAGCAGAAGCGCUGGACUUGGGGUCGGUAUCCUCGCCUGCCAUGUCGUCGAGGAGGUCGUGGACGUCGGGGAAGAAGUCGUCGUCUGGGAAGUAGUCGUCGGCGACCGGAUCAUCCGUGAUGAAGAAGCCAGUAGUCGCGCUGAGCGCUCCCCAAAAACCUUAUCACCCUUCUCCCGUACAGGACUCAAAAAGGUGCGGUCUCGGAGGCCUACUGUCCCGACCUGCGGUGCACGCCGCAAACCGGGAUGAGGAAAAACAUAGCAGCAGCGCAGUGCUCAGGAACUUUGUGGGAAGAGAUUUUGGUGCGUCUUGCUGAGAGGAGCGACCUCCCUUAUAUAGGCGCAAGAGAAGGAGGCGAGAGGGCAGCGUCGGGAGCUGAAGGGACCGAGGAAGACGAAACGAACAGGCAUCAACCGAAGAGGCGUGCCGUUCGUAUUGAAUGUCCACUACAGAAAAAUGUUUCAGCUUCCGAGUGACCUUUCGUAUACCCGUAGUGUGUGGCAAAAAUUUAGACAUCGGCUCGGCUCAUUGCCGCAACCCGCGUCGCGUCGCGUCGCGUCGUGACGAGGCGUGGCGUGGCGUGGCGUGGCGUGGCGAGGCGGGCGGCGGAGGAGGAGCGCGCGUGGAUGUCCCUCUUGUUCUCAUGCUCAUACAAGUAGGGAAAGAACCUCCCUUAUAAGGAGGUCCAACUUCCACUCAACUAGCAAUGUGGGACUAAACAUUAGUAGUAUCCCUUGCCUUGCACAAAUAGGCUAAGUGGGCCUCUAGGAUUUAUUAGGAAUUUCUGAAAUAGUUAUUGGGCUGCCCAAAUAGACUAAAUUCCAGCAAUCCCCCACCAGAUCCCAGAGGCACACAGAAAUUUGCCUUUGGUUCCAAAACACUGUUUUAUAUACCGGUACUGCAGUGGAGACUGUUAAGUUGAACUUCCACCUAGAACUCUAUGCUACACUAGUAAGCAACUUGAACAGUGGACUGGGCUUUGAACUGCAAGUUUUCUGCGAAUCUAGCUUCACAUAA